rnacentral:rRNA from 1 species
AUUGAACGCUGGCGGCAUGCCUUACACAUGCAAGUCGAACGGUAACAGGUCUUCGGAUGCUGACGAGUGGCGAACGGGUGAGUAAUACAUCGGAACGUGCCUAGUAGUGGGGGAUAACUACUCGAAAGAGUGGCUAAUACCGCAUGAGAUCUACGGAUGAAAGCAGGGGAUCGCAAGACCUUGUGCUACUAGAGCGGCCGAUGGCAGAUUAGGUAGUUGGUGGGAUAAAAGCUUACCAAGCCGACGAUCUGUAGCUGGUCUGAGAGGACGAUCAGCCACACUGGGACUGAGACACGGCCCAGACUCCGACGGGAGGCAGCAGUGGGUAAUUUUGGACAAUGGGCGCAAGCCUGAUCCAGCAAUGCCGCGUGCAGGAUGAAGGCCUUCGGGUUGUAAACUGCUUUUGUACGGAACGAAAAGCCCUGGGUUAAUACCCUGGGGUCAUGACGGUACCGUAAGAAUAAGCACCGGCUAACUACGUGCCAGCCGCCGCCGUAAGAC